rnacentral:lncRNA from 1 species
GUUUCCUGAGUGGAACCUAUUGAACUCAGGGUCUAAUGGACAUGAUGAUGAGUCUGUAAAGUAGAGAGAGUACCAAGAUGAAUCCAUGAAACUGGCUCACAAGAACAGGAUUACUGCUUCUUAUUCUUACUGAUAUGAGUAAUUUCUAGUAUAUGAUCCUACUUUAGAAAAUAGUUUUGCUCUGUUUAACAUAAAAUGAAUACUUUGUUAUUACAUUUUUUUAUCUUAAUAAGGGACAAACAACAAUUUGGCAGCUUUUUUCUUGAAGACUGAUCAUUUGCCAUGCCCUCAUGGAGAAAGUGAGUUCAUAUCCUUUUCUUCUUGUACUUUGUUUCAUUCCCAUCCAUGCCUCCAUGUUGACAUUUGUGUGGCUCUCCUUUGAAAGAGUCAUUGUACAAUGAUAACUUAU